CCUACGGGUGGCAGCAGUCGAGAAUCAUUCACAAUGGGGGAAACCCUGAUGGUGCGACGCCGCGUGGGGGAAUGAAGGUCUUCGGAUUGUAAACCCCUGUCAUGUGGGAGCAAAUUAAAAAGAUAGUACCACAAGAGGAAGAGACGGCUAACUCUGUGCCAGCAGCCGCGGGAAUACAGAGGUCUCAAGCGUUGUUCGGAAUCACUGGGCGUAAAGCGUGCGUAGGCUGUUUCGUAAGUCGUGUGUGAAAGGCGCGGGCUCAACCCGCGGACGGCACAUGAUACUGCGAGACUAGAGUAAUGGAGGGGGAACCGGAAUGCUCGGUGUAGCAGUGAAAGGCGUAGAUAUCGAGAGGAACACUCGGGGCGAAGGCGGGUUCCUGGACAUUAACUGACGCUGAGGCACGAAGGCCAGGGGAGCGAAAGGGAUUAGAUACCCGAGUAGUC
rnacentral:rRNA from 1 species